rnacentral:ncRNA from 1 species
AACAUGAACGAGUCAAUUACUUUUACUUUGGUCGAAAUCCUGCUCGAACCAACCUGAAUGCCACAGGCGCGCAUUUUACUCACUCCCGACUCGGGGAGGUAGUGACGAAAAAUAACAAUUCCGGACUCUUUCGAGGCCCCUUUAUUGGAAUGUUCGUUCGUUCGUUCGUCCCAUAGCCUUUUAAUCAGCCGUAGGCUGAUUAAGUAGCCGUAGGGGCAGCACAACAUGUUGGGCUGUAUCAAUAGGCAUUUUAGUCCCCUGGCGGCGCCUAUCUCCUCUCCGGGGCAUUAUUGGAAUGGGUACACUUUAAAUCCUUUAACGAGGAUCUAUUGGAGGGUAAUUCUGGUGCCAGCAGCCGCGGUAAUUCCAGCUCCAAUAGCGUAUAUUAAAGUUGUUGCCUUUGAAAAACUCGUAGUUCAUGUAGUUGCAUCUUGGGACCGGGCUUGCGGUCCGCCGCGAGGCGUGUCACUGCUCGCCCCGGCCCUCCCUGCCGGAUUCUCCUUGGUGCUCUUAACUGAGUGCCUCGGGGUGCGGGAGCGUUUACUUUGAAAAAAAAAAAAAAUAGAGUGUUUAAAGCAGGCCUGGCGACUGAAUAGUAGUGCAUAGAAUAAUGGAAUAGAUCCUCGGUUCUAUUUCGUUGGUUUUCGGAACGUGAGGUAAUGAUCAAGAGGGACGGACGGGGGCAUUCGUAUUGCGGCGGGAGAGGUGAAAUCCUCGGGUCGCCGCAAGACGAACCACUGCGAAAGCAUUUGCCAAGAAUUUUUUCAUUGAUCAAGAACGAAAGUUGUGGGCGCGAAGGCGAUCAGAUACCGCCCUAGUCACAACCAUAAACGAUGCCAACCAGCGAUCCGCCGGCGUUACUUCGAUGACCCGAUGGGCAGCUCCCGGGAAACCCGAGUUUCUUCACUGUCCAUUUUGUAACCUUUCUACCGUACGCUCAGUU